AGAGUCACUCCUACGGGAGGCAGCAGUUUCGAAUCAUUCACAAUGGGCGAAAGCCUGAUGGUGCGACGCCGCGUGGGGGACGAAGGUCUUCGGAUUGUAAACCCCUGUCACCGGGGACAAAACGUCGUCUGCUAAUACCAGCCGACCUGAUUUAACUCGGAGAGGAAGCAGUGGCUAACUCUGUGCCAGCAGCCGCGGUAAUACAGAGACUGCAAGCGUUGUUCGGAUUCACUGGGCGUAAAGGGUGCGCAGGCGGCCGGGUGUGUCGGGUGUGAAAUCUCGAGGCUCAACCUCGAAACUGCGCCCGAAACUGGAUGGCUUGAAUCCGGGAGAGGGAUGCGGAAUUCCAGGUGUAGCGGUGAAAUGCGUAGAUAUCUGGAGGAACACCGGUGGCGAAGGCGGCAUCCUGGACCGGCAUUGACGCUGAGGAGCGAAAGCCAGGGGAGCAAACGGGAUUAGAUACCCCGGUAGUCCUGGCCCUAAACGAUGAAUGCUUGGUGUGGCGGGUAUCGAUCCCUGCCGUGCCGAAGCUAACGCAUUAAGCAUUCCGCCUGGGGAGUACGGUCGCAAGGCUGAAACUUAAAGGAAUUGACG
rnacentral:rRNA from 1 species